AACGAACGCUGGCGGCAGGCCUAACACAUGCAAGUCGAACGUGAAGCCACCUUCGGGUGGUGGAAAGUGGCAGACGGGUGAGUAACGCGUGGGAACGUGCCUUUCGGUUCGGGAUAACCCAGGGAAACUUGGGCUAAUACCGGAUACGCCCUUCGGGGGAAAGAUUCAUUGCCGAAAGAUCGGCCCGCGUCGGAUUAGCUAGUUGGUGGGGUAAAAGCCUACCAAGGCGACGAUCCGUAGCUGGUCUGAGAGGAUGACCAGCCACACUGGGACUGAGACACGGCCCAGACUCCUACGGGAGGCAGCAGUGGGGAAUAUUGGACAAUGGGCGCAAGCCUGAUCCAGCCAUGCCGCGUGGGUGAAGAAGGCCCUAGGGUUGUAAACCCCUUUCAGCGGGGAAGAUAAUGACGGUACCCGCAGAAGAAGCCCCGGCUAACUCCGUGCCAGCAGCCGCGGUAACAC
rnacentral:rRNA from 1 species